rnacentral:rRNA from 1 species
UACAGAGGGUGCAAGCGUUGUUCGGAUUUACUGGGCGUAAAGCGCGUGUAGGCGGUGGCGUAAGUCGGAUGUGAAAUCCCUCGGCUUAACCGAGGACGUGCACCCGAUACCGCGUCACUUGAGUACCGGAGGGGAUGGCGGAAUUCCCGGUGUAGAGGUGAAAUUCGUAGAUAUUCGCAAGAACACCAGUGGCGAAGGCGGCUCACUGGUCCGGUUCUGACGCUCAGGCGCGAUAGCGUGGGGAUCAAACAGG